rnacentral:ncRNA from 1 species
UAGACUGACGCCAAAGUCGGCGAUCAGCAGGCGGCCCACGAAAAGACUUUGUCGGCGGUUCUCCCCGUAUUGGCAGGCGCCAAUAUGAUUUACGGCCCC